rnacentral:rRNA from 1 species
UAGGGAAUCUUCGGCAAUGGACGAAAGUCUGACCGAGCAACGCCGCGUGAGUGAAGAAGGUUUUCGGAUCGUAAAACUCUGUUGUUAGAGAAGAACAAGGACGUUAGUAACUGAACGUCCCCUGACGGUAUCUAACCAGAAAGCCACGGCUAACUACGUGCCAGCAGCCGCGGUAAUACGUAGGUGGCAAGCGUUGUCCGGAUUUAUUGGGCGUAAAGCGAGCGCAGGCGGUUUCUUAAGUCUGAUGUGAAAGCCCCCGGCUCAACCGGGGAGGGUCAUUGGAAACUGGGAGACUUGAGUGCAGAAGAGGAGAGUGGAAUUCCAUAUGUAGCGGUGAAAUGAGUAGAUAUAUGGAUGAACACCAGUGGCGAAGGCGGCUCUCUGGUCUGUAACUGACGCUGAGGCUCGAAAGCGUGGGGAGCAAACAGG